rnacentral:rRNA from 1 species
AUACGGAUGGUGCGAGCGUUGUUCGGAAUUACUGGGCGUAAAGGGCGCGUAGGCGGCGAUGUAAGUCAAAUGUGAAGGUCCUCGGCUUAACCGGGGAAGUGCAUCUGAAACUGCAUUGCUUGAGUAUGGGAGAGGAAAGUGGAAUUCCCGGUGUAGAGGUGAAAUUCGUAGAGAUCGGGAGGAAUACCGGUGGCGAAGGCGACUUUCUGGACCAAUACUGACGCUGAGGCGCGAAAGCGUGGGGAGCAAACAGGAUUAGAAACCCCAGUAGUCC